rnacentral:lncRNA from 1 species
CUAAACAAAAAUGCAAAACAAACCCUAAGUCUUUCAAUUUUCCCUGAAUACUCAUCCGCUUCCGAAGCACUAGAAAAAUUCCUUUGUAGGAGUUGAAAGCCCUCAUCCGCUUCACAAAUCUCUCUCCUUUAGUCCUAACUCCUCAGAUUUUCUGAGUUCCUCGGAGUUUCCAAAACAGAAACCAAACACUCCGGAUUCAAAUUGAGAAAAUCUUCUCUUACCACCGUUGCUCCUUCGUGACGAUGACCUCGACGUCCAGUGAAACAUCUUCCAUUCAGUAGGUCGGGCUUUUACACCGUCGUCCCCAAGUUGCCAUUUCGUGUGCUGAUCUAUUUGCUGCUCACGGGACAUAUCAGAAGGUAAAUGUUCUAAACCUGGUUGCUCUAUUUUUUUAUCUCAUUAAUUUUGUUGCAUAUAAUUGAUCUAUUGAUCUCCGAUGUUUCUAUUCUUUUCAAGACCGUGAGUGCAUCACCUUUUACACAAACGUCACCAAAGCCUAUUUCUUUUACAAAAAUAAUUGCUUGUAAACAUGCAUGCACUUCUACUGUUGUUGGGUCUUGGACAUUUUCAAUCGAGUAAACAUAUGAGCCCAUAACCAAUCUUAAGUUAUUCCUUAUAAUUACUACUGCAACAGAUCUGUAUGUCUACUGUUGGUAGGAGGAAUCAAAGUAUACUUUAAUUUGUUCUCCCUGUUAGAGUUGUGACCCAGAUUAUUAUUAAAAUAAAAUACAAGUGACAAAAUAGAGGGAUCCACGAGGAAUAAGGCUGAGGUUUUCUAAACAUAUAAGUAGAUACAAUUUAUACUUCUUGUAAUUAUUUGAAUUUGACAUAGUGAAUUUUCUUCUCCUCUGCUCGUGAUUUUUUUUUCUAAAAGGGUUUUCAUGUAAAAUCUGUGUUCUAUUUUUCUCUCUUUUCUUACCAUUAUCAACAUUAUAUUUUUUUACACUCCUUUUAGAGGUUCCCACUGUAUUUCUCCUAUGUUGUUUCGAUGUACUGUGAUGUCCUCUAACUGUUUUAACACAACUAUGUAUGCCUUAAUGAAACUGAGAACUUCAAAUGCUAUUUCUCUUUUACCUUCAUGAUAUAACUUGUUUUUAUUGUGCCAAAUGGCCCACUAUGCAAUGGCUAUGUUUAUGCUUUGCAAACUUUACAAUUUUUGAAAACAUAUACUAACAAAAAUUUUCAUCCUUGAUUUGUGUUUGUGUGAGAGGAUACCAUUCUUAUCUCCUAAAGCACUUGUUUUGUAAAGGCACAGUCUCAGAAAAGAUGGUCUACUGUUUCGUCUUAGUUUUUGCAGAUCGGGCAAAAGGCCUUCUCCCUUAGCCUUCGAUACUUUAGGUUACUUAACAUAGACAGAAAAUUAUUAGAAACCUUCCAUAGGUGUAUUCUAAUUUUAUUUGGGAUUUUGAGAUUCCAUUGUUUUGUAUAAUAAUUUUUUGUAGCGAUGUCUUGUAAAUUAUUAUCAUUCCUUGUCUCGUCUUGGACGCCUGCAAUGCACCACUUGUACCCGCUUUUGACCAAGUAUUCUGUCGUAUUUUCACCUAUCCAGAUUAAAGCAUUUGAAUAAUAGUUGUUCACUAGUGGGAUGGUUAAAAUCAUCUUGGCUUGCUCAUUCAUGAACAGUAUUUCUACUAACUCCGUUUUUUAGGUAUUAGUCUCGCUAUUAAUGAGGUUUGCAACCUUCGAAUAUCUAAUAUCAAUAUUCUGAAUUUUUACCUUCCCAUUUCCAGGACCUGGAAUCCAUGCAUCGUUCUAUAUAUUCAUUGUCCUGCCAUUCCCAAUUAUCCAGCCAAUACCAUCUUCCAAAAUGCUACAGGUACCAAAACUGCUUCGCUAGGUAAAAGAAAGGUGAGAUCCUAAACCUGCAUUCAUAAACUCACUUAGCUUUCAUUACUCGCGUAAGUAAACUGGUAGAAUUGGUAGUUAGUUUCCAACCCUGCUUCGCUGAAAGGGCUUUAUUGAGAAUUGAUACAUCUCUAAAAUCAAUUUCCCCUUGUGUCUUUGGGGUACACAUAGAACUCCAAUUACUCCAAUGUAUUCUUUUAUUUGUUUUCGAAUUGUACCACCGAAAUUUGCACAUCAAAAUAUCCAAUUCUCGACAUAAAGAAACUGGCAAUAAAAGACUACAUUGUGUAAUUUGGAAUGACCUAUAAAAUGGAUUUGAUAAAAACCUCAUUCCCCCUAUUGAUAGAUUGCGUACUGAUGGGCGUUGAAACCACCAAAUAAAAUUUCAUACCACAAAAUAAUACAAAAUAGUAGUAUAGAGUAGUUGAGUCGAAUGCACAGGGAUUGGUUGUCUAAUUUCACCUUUUCUUAUGAACAGAAUUACUAUCACGGUAAUAGUCGUGCCCACGACUCGUGACAAGCUUGCUGAAAAAAAAAAGAAGUAAAAUAAAUAAUGAGGGAAUGAAAAUGUUUGGGAAGUCAAUAAAAUGUAAUAGCAGCAAAUAAAAAUUAUAUUAAUCGUAAAUAAAAAAAGUAAAUGGAGUUUAACUUCAUAAGCAAUAAUAUAAAGUCUUAGCCUUAAACUAGGUUAAUUUUAGUUCUAAAUCGAUCAUUGAAAAUGAGUUUUCUCCUCCAUAUGAACAGAAUUACUGUCGCAGUAAUAGUCCUACCCACGACUCGUGCUAAGCUUGCUGAAAAAAAAGAAAUAAAAUAAAUAAGGGGGAAUGAAAAUGUUUGAAAAGUAAAUAAAAUGUAAUAGUAGCAAAUAACAAUUAUAUUAAUCGAAAACAAAAUAAGUAAAUAGAGUUGGACUUCGUAAGCAAUAAUAUAAAGUUUUAGCCUUAGACUCGGUUAAUUCUGGUUCUGAAUCGAUCCUUGAAAAUGAGUUUUCUCUUCCACACCAUAAGUUGGUUAUAGAGGCUAAAAACGUCCCAGCCGCUAAUUUUUCCUUUUGUAGUUGAUUCCAAUAUGACCUACAAACCAACCCUUACUGACUAUCUAAUCGCGAUACACGCGUUCGUAAUUCAAGACCCUGACAACUUUGCGUUCUGGAGAACCCAACUCAAAUCAACAGCCUUAACCGCGUGGGUCGUUUAAAUUCGAUCACUUUCUCCCUUGACGAAGAUCCCACUAGUAUGACCCUGCCAAGAUACACUAAUUUGUUCGUGAGAAUGCGAAUAUAGCACGGCUAACUCGACUUCCCAACUAUACGCCAAAAAACUCCUACCCAACAUACACUUUUUGAAUUGAAACUGAAUUGACUUUAAGGGAUGAAUUUGUACUAUCUCAUAUUCCGGAGAGAUGGUGAAUAUUGUUAUGAAAGAUUUUUAAUGCAGAUUCAUUUCUCAUGAUUCUUGACUAGAAAGAAUACUAGCCUAAAGAUAAGUAGAAGUUUAGUGAAGCAUGAAAUUAAUCAUGCUUUGUUGGUAUAUGUAAUUGGUUUUAACGGAAAUAGUAGAAAGUGGAAAAAGGAAGGGACUUAUAAGGCAAUUAAACAAAAUUUGUAAAAGGAAAGUAAUAUGAAACGAAAUGGUUACAAACGCAUGAAAGAAAUAAACUGCUCUGUAUUUCUAGUGUAGUCAAGUGUGUUCUUCAAAGGCCACCACACACCCUAUUUACCCAUAUCUGUCGCCAGAUUAGGGUUAUAGAGUGUUAUCGUACAAUCAAAGACAUUUAACAUCAUAAUAUUUAAAUACACUAAAAAAUCAUAAUCCAAUCAAACACAUACAUUAUAUUCCUAAACCAAGCCCUCGAGGCCAUAAAAAUAGCUUAGGAGCAAUUCAGGACUAAUUUGAAAAAAAACUAAAAGUUUAGGAAAAACAUACAAAAAUUUCAAAACAGGGGUUACAUGGCCGUGUGGCCAGGUCGUGUGCCUCACACGUCCAUGUCCCCAGCCAUGUAACUUUCGAACUAGGGACACGACUGUGUCUAAGCCCGUAUCCUCACCCGUAUAACUCAUUGAGUAGGGUCACACGGCCGCGUCACACGCCGAUGUGCCAGGCCGUGUGUUAGGUCGUGUAACUCACUGAGUUGUACCCUUUGAAAUCCUCAGAUGACACACGGCCGUGUCGUCAGGUCGUGUGCCUCAUACGACUGAGUCAGACGCUUGUGUCUCAGCCCAUGUGGACCAAAAAAUUUACCUAAAGUCAAGCUAAUUCAACCCAUUUCAUGCAUAACCUUUCAACCCAUUUAAGCACACUUUUAAUGGACCUAAACAUCACCCUAACAUACAUCAAAAUGCCAUUUCAAUAUCCUAAUUCAACUAACCAAUAUGUCAUUCAAAGACACCAUAAUUAUAUCAAAACAACAUAUACCAAAACAUGUUAACAUUACCUAAUUCCAUGCAUAAAGACCUCAUUCUAUACUAUGCCUACAACACAUCAUAAAUGACCAUUUUCAAGCCAACAUCUUGUACCAAAAUGCCAUACACAUCUAUUAUCAAAAAGUGACCUAAAAGGACUUACCUAACAAGCAUUAUAAGUUUAUCAACCAUACAUUAACAUCAGAGCAUAACAUACCAAAUUUACCAUUUACAUAUUCACCAAAACAUCAUUAUACUAAAGACUUCUCCUAUUAUAUGUCACUUUAACCAACUUCAAACAAGUAUAAAAUGACUACCAAGGUGUAGAUGAUAGUGUGUGAGCUUUCAAGUUGAUCCAAUCGAUGCAAAAAUUCCAAGAGUCCUACAAGAUCAAAUCAAAUGAAUAAGCACGAAGAAGCUUAGUAAGUUCGAUAAGUAAACUCAUUUGCUAUCAAAUACCGAAUUUCUAAAGGAAAUUAACCUUUAUUACAUCGGCAAUAAACCUGCUAGGCACUAAGCCUGAAUAACAGUACAGUUCAACACUUAAACAUCAUUACAUAACAGAAUUUAAAAAUUAAAUCACUAACAAGGAGUUUAAUUCAACUAUACAUAAACAUAAAACGAACUUACAUGACUAGUUUGCAGUAAUUGCAAAAGCACAUGAACUACUCCGAAGUCUUUCAUUUUCCACGAUCGUAAACAUGCUCGUGAUCUAAAAUAAUAGUUUCAUUCAAUUAAUUACUUCUAAAAUUCAAUUUAAUCCAUAAUUCAUUUUAUGUAAAAUUACGAAAUUACCUCUAACAUUUUAAUUUUUCACAAUUUAGUCCUUAAACUCAUAACUUGAAAUUUAACUAUUUCAAAAAAAAUCCAAAUUAACCAAUGUUAGAAAGAACCUUGAAAUAAUCCAUAUUCACCAUCAUUUCACUUCAAAACCAAUAGCUUUACACCUUUUACAAUUUAAUCUCUAAUUCUACAAUUCAUCAAAAAUCACUUAACAAAACUUGUUUAUUUUUCAACAAGGAAUUAUAAUAUAUCAACUAGCAUCAAAACUUACUAAAAAGAAAUUCAUGGAAAGUCCCUCAACUUUUUACACUUUUGCAAAUUAACCCUCGGGCUAGCUAGACUAAGCUAAAACGAUCUCAAAAAUAUAAAAAUUAUUAAAAAAACGAAACAAUUAUACAUACCAUGCACAAGGACAAGGCUAGUCAAUUGCUCCAAGCUCCUUUAAUGGUGUUUUUAAGUUUUUGAAUGGAAGAAUGAGAAAGAUGAUACUUGUUUCAUCUUUUCUUUAUUAAAUUUUCAUUUAAUUAUUAAAUUACCAUAUUAACCUUUAAAAACUAACAAAAUUUCAUUAAAAUCUUGCCCAUGCACAUCCACUAACACAUUCAAUAGUAUAUUUACAACUCAAGUCCUUUAGUUUAAGGUUUCAUAGCCAUUUAACCCAUUUAGCUAAUAGAACUCAACUUUUAGACUUUUUACGAUUUAGUCCUUUUUACUUGAUUAAUCAGACAAACAUCAAAAUUUCUUAAUGAAAUUUUAAUAUGACCCUAAUAUAAUCUCGUAGACGCUAAAUAAAUAAUGAAAUAAUAAAUCACUUGUUAGAAUUGUGGUCUCAAAACCACUGUUUCUGACACCAUUGAAAAACAGACUAUUACAAUAUACAUAUCAUAUACUAAAAUUAACCUAACUCACCUAACAACUAAUUACAUGAAAUUACAUUCAUAUCAGAUUUUUUUCUAAAUAUUUCUUUUACAAAGUUAAAAAUCAUAUUAGCCCUUAAAUGUCUCCAAAUUUCGGAUUCGCCCCCCUCUUUUAUUGCUUGUGUUCCAAUUUAGUCCUUUUCUGCUUGUUUUUGAAUUAAAGCAUACGAAUUUUGUUCCUGAUAGAAUUUAAAUAUGAAAUCGCCAAUUUAGCAGGAAUUAAUUUAAGAAUUAAUUGAUUUGAACACAUCAAAUAUGCAAAAUAAACAUGCUACCAUGUACACUCCAUGUUUUUAUUCUUUUAAUGAACUUUUCUUUUAAAUUGUCAGACAUGUUCUUCUUUCUUCUUCUACCAUCGUUGGUAAACCAAGACAUUUCUCUAGAUUAUUAGAGAUUCGAACUCCCAAUUCACUUCCUAUUCGCGCUUUGUCUUCCUCCAUUGUAUUUUUGCUAAAAUAAAUAAAAGAUUUCUUGAAAUUCACCAUUUGUCCAGACAUGUUUUCGUCGUCCUUAACCACUUCUUUCAUUGCCAAAGCCCCUUCUAUUGUUGCCUUCCCAAAAAGGAUGCUUUCAUCUACAAAAAAUAAUGGUGUUAGCGAUAACCCUCCUCUCCCUACCUUUAGUCCUUCAAUCUUUCUGUUGGAAAAACCGGUUUUGGAAAACGAAUCAGAAAAUAAAUUUAGGGAAAAUAGAGUUAAAAUUUUUUUCAAAACAAGAUCUUAGUUGUGAUAUCUAAAGUAAUAAACACUUAAUCAAAAUUGUACCUUUUCGAUUUGUUUAGGAUAAACGCUUCGACCGAGUAGUCUUUUCCAUUAUCCUCAAGCUCACGUCUGUCAAGUGCGGGCUCGCUUCGAAUAAGAAAAUUUUUCACAAAAAUUACUAGUGGGGUAAUUUUGCAAUUUCUCUAAACUUUUAAGUCAAAUUGUAAAUCAGAAAAAUAUCUCUUGAAUUCAAGUGUGUCUAAAAUAAUGACCCAAAGCUCUUUUUAUAUAAGGAGAGUUUAAAGAGUUCAACUAUGAUUAAUAUUAGAUUAAAUUUAAUAUUAAAUCUUAUUAAAAUAAUAGAAUGUUAAUCUUGUAUACAUUAAUAUUAUUAAGAUAAGUAUUAAAUUAAAUUUAUUAUUAAACUAUUAAAAUAAUAUUAUUUUUGGAAUAGUUAAUUUGAAAUCAAAUUCUCUGGUAGAGUCCCCGUAGGAGUGUAACUCUUCUACUGCACAACCACCGAAGGCCAACCAUUGUUGGCCACCGAAACAUCGCCGUUGUAGUCACCGACAUCGUUGUGUCUGGUGAUGCAGGUGCGACACCUUUAUGACACCUCGAGCCGGUUCAGUUACUACUAGUUCGGUCAAAGUCAGUGACGACCUAACCAAUCCGGUCUUGCCACCGGUUAGACCAUCGGCCCAGUUUCAUGUAUAGGUCCCAGUUCGACCAAAUUUUGGGUCUUGGUCUCGAUUUUGGGCUCCUGAGCCUAAUUUUCAAUCUCAAGUCCAAUUUUCAAAUUCAAUUACCUAUUAGGUCAAUUGUCAGACUUGAAAAUUAAUUUCUAAAAAUAUGAUAUUAAUUUUAAUUAAUUUGAUUAGUUUAAUUUUAUUUAAUCAAAAUUAAUUUUUUCAAAAAUCACUUAGAUUUUCUAAAUUUUCAAGAAAAUUCUUUAACCAAAUUAUCUAAUUGAACAAUUCUCACGACUACCUAAUUUAAUUCCACAUUGAAAAAAUCGACUCAAUUAAAUUAUUUCCAAAGUAAUAGAAUUUUCUUUUGAUUUAAAUGCAGUCCAAUCGAGCUUCUCUUGAGCUAGCGGAGGGACCAAUCAAACAUAUACAAUUAGGCUCUAGUAAUUGCAAUUACUAGAGCGUAAUUGUAUAUGUUUAGAAACACCGUUCUGAAAAAUCGCAAUUACUUAAUUAUGAAGUCAGUCCACAAGAAGUACCAUGAUUAAAAACUCCUUACUGUAUACUCUUUACGAAAGUAAUUCAUCCAAUUACUUUGUUCAAUGGCUCGUUAUGUACGUGUUACCCUCAUAUGAUAUCUUUGAUUCCUUUGAGUUAAAUCCAUUCACUCAAAAUAAUCUUGUUUUAUCUCAUUGUCACCAUUGUGUCUUCUUAAUGAUUAAUAUGAUCCCUGUCAACAAACGAUUAUGAUAAAUCGCUUGUUCGAGAACAAGCAAACCGUGGCCACGUUUCGUAUUUAUCAAUGCAUACAAUGCCAAUGAGAGGAUAUCAUUAACUCUUUAAUUGAGCUAUGAAUAACUCUUUAAUUGAACUAUGAAUUCCACUAUUUCUAGUAAAGCCAUGCCAUACACAAGUUAUGUACCCAACAUACCGACUAUGGGCUUGAUCAUCUUUAGAGCAUAAGCCUCCACUUAUAUCAAAGCGCAUGAGUUGCAAACGUAUGAUUAGUGACUAACUCAGGAUUUAGGUAAAUCACACUAUGAACGUUACAAGUGAAUUAAUUCACAAACGAAUUCAAAAUUAAUUCAUUUUGGGUCCAGUUUAAUGUAUCAUUCUACCAAUGAAUAUAUCUAUGUCUCUACCCGUGGAGUCAACUUCUUCGAUAAAUAAGGCUAGCCAUCUCCCUAAUUGGAAUUGUAGACGACAUAAUAAUAUUUUCUCAGUAUUUGAAUCAAAUAUUCACUUUGAUUCUUUUACGGGAUUAUAGACCUAUUUAGAUUAUCUACUGAAGUAAGUUGUCUUUCUCGCAAUGUAAACGUACUUAUAAUGCCACAUAUCUUCAGUUUGAACUUAGACAAUCAAUGAGCUAAUAUUUGCUUGUCACAGUUUAACUAUGCAUGCAAAAUAUAAAAGAAAAAAAAUACAAAAGACAUAAUAGUGAAAUGUGAAAUUAACUUUAUUAAUUUAUUUAUCAUUCAAAUAAAUAGAAAAUAGUUACAUGAAUACUACAAUAUGGGCACAUUUCCCAACAAUCUCCCACUUGCCCUAGUGAAGUAAAUGUGUCAUGUUUUGUAUUCCAAUAUCCUCGAUGUGUUUGUCAAAACUCCUAGUUACAAGAGUCUUAGUAAAUAGAUCCGCAAGGUUAUCUUCAGAAGCUACUUUCAUCACAUCUACAAUUCCUUCAGCUACUGCUUCUUGUAUCAAGUGAUACUUCCGAUCAAUGUGUUUCGUCCUCUUGUGACUUCACAUUUUCUUAGUAUUAGCUAUUGCAGCACUUUUAUCACACUAUAGUGUUAUAGCUUUUUCUAUACCAGGAAUGACUUCAAGAUCGGUUAAGAACAUUCGAAGCCAUAUUGCUUCUUUCGUUGCCUUAUAAGCAGCCACAUGCUCGACCUUCAUAGUAGAGUCAGCAGUUCAAAUUUAUUUUACACUUCUCCAUACCAUGGCUCCAUAACCUAGAACAAAUACAUUUCCCGAUGUUGAUUUCCUUAGAUCUUUACAAGUUUGGAAGUCUGAGUCUGUGUAUCCAACAAGAGUAAGGUUCUCCCUAAAAUACGCAAGUAUAUAAUCCCUGGUUCUUUUAAGAUACCUUAAUAUAUGCUUUACAGCUUGCCAAUGCCUGAGACCUGGAUUCGCCUGAUAUCGACUAACCAUUCCUACUGCAAAAUAGAUAUAUGGACGUAUGCAAAGCAUGGCAUACAUAAGGCUUCCAACUGCCGUAGCAUAUGGAACCUUACUCAUAUGCUCUUUUUCUUUCGCUAUUUUAGGAUAGUCAUCUAAAGAAAGAUGAAGACCUGAUGCAGUUGUUUAAACGACUGGCUUCAUAUCGGUCAUUACAAAACGUUCUAGUACCUUAUCGAUGUACGAAGCUUGAGAUAGAGAUAUUGUUUUAUUCUUUUGAUCCAUAAAGAUUCGAAUUCCAAGAAUAUAAUAGCUUCACCCAAGUCCUUCAUGCUAAACUAUUGAGCUAACCACAGUUUAACCGAUGACAAUUCUCUUACAUCGUUUACGAUAAGUAGAAUAUCAUCGACAUAGAAAAUAAGAAAUACCACUUUUUUGUCCUUUAUACGCUUAUAAACACAAGGUUCAUCAGUGUUUUGCUCAAAUCUAAAAGUCCUGAUCGUUUGAUCAAAUCUUAUAUUCCAUGAGUGGGACGGCUACUUAAGUCCAUAAAUGGAUUGUAGCAGUUUGCAAACUUUCUGCUCAUUUCCUUUGAUAACAUAGCCAGUGGGUUGAGCCACGUAAAUCGUUUCAUCAAGACAGUCAUUCAAGAAUUUUGUCUUGGCAUCCAUUUGCUAGUUCUCGUAAUCGAGAGUAGUGACAAUGGUUACAAGUAUGCAGAUAGACUUGAGCAUGGCUACUAGAGAGAAGGUCUCAUUGUAAUCGAUGCCUUCUUUCAGUUUAUAGUCUUUCCCUACAAGUCUAGCUUUGUGUGUUUCCACUUUUCCUUCCGCAUUUCUCUUCUUGUAGUUCCACAUGACAAAGUUUACCCUGAGGUGUAGCCAGGGUAGGAACUGGCUCAAAACUUUAUCAUGCUAUCACUUAGAGACCAUCAAUAGGGGCCAUAGAUCUUGUUCAAAGACCUUUCCCCACUCAAUAUUUUAAAAACAUGCAAGGGUUUUUUUAUCCCAAAUUUCAAGAAUGAUCAUACAAUAUUUCUAGUGGCAUCUUUACCUAAUCUAAAUGACAUGCUUUCAAUAUAUGCAUGGCAUGCUAUGACAAUUUUAUAAUCUUCACAUUCAUUCACAAGAAUCAAUCAAUCAUAAAAAUAAACAAUUUUGAUUCUGCACAGUUUUUAUUCGUAAGGGAAAAAUUGAAGAAGUGAAUGUGAAGCAUGCACUAGGUUGGGUCCCAGGAAAGGGAGGUGAGUCAAAUUUGACCGCUUAAAAACCAAGCCUUUCCUAGCCAGAGCCAAUCCUAGACAUGCACCUUCUCAUUAGCACACUUCUUAUUUUUUAAUCAAUCAACUGUAGAUCAUCUCAUAUAUAUAUCACAAUUAUAAUAUUACAUAAUAUAAAUAUUAUAAAUAAUUAUAAAAUAAAUAUAAUGAGAUAGGUAAUUAAAAUAAAAUUGCCACCAAGGUUUUUAUGGUUCUAUUUCUAGAAAAUAAAAUUACAUAAUUUUUCACCACAAGGCAUUCCUUGGGUCUUCAACCGCUAUCGCAUCUUUUUCUUGCCUUGGACUUCUUUUGGAAAAAAUAGCCUUAUGUGGAUAUGAUAGUCCACGGUCUAUUUCCUAAGAACCGCAACCUUGACAAUAAAAAACAAAUAUAUAACAAUUAUAUAAUAUCGCAUCCAUUCCCAUAAAUAACUCAAAACAUGCAUAAAAUCUAAAGAAUGCCACUUUCUAUGUAAUCAAAUCAUUUAAGAAUAAGAGAAAUUUAUUUUGAUUAUCUGUUUAUACUUAUAGAUAGAAAAAAACCUGUCUUAUGAUAGUAAUUGUUGGAAAAAGCUGGUUUGGAAAACUUAGUAGAAAAUAAAUUUAGGGAAAAUAAUGUUUUAAAAUUAUACAUCAAAUCAUUUAAGAGCUUGGUUGUGAUAUCUAAAGUAAUAAACACUUUAUCAAAAUUAUACAUUUUUUAUUCAUCUAGGAUGAGCACUUCGACCGAGCAAUCUUCUCCGCUAUAUUUAAGCUCACAUCUACCAAGUGUGGACUUGCUUCAAAUAAGAAAAUUUUUCACAAAAAUUGUCACUGGGGUAAUUUUGCAAUUUCUCUAAACUUUUAGGUCAAGUUGUAAAUCAAAAAAUAUCUUUUAAAUUUUUUUGAAAUAAUCUCUUUAGAGAAUUUUCUCUUUGCAAAAUUCUUUUAAAUUCAAGUGUGUGUAAAAUAAUAAACCAAUGCUCUCUUUAUAUGGGGAGAGUUUAGAGAGUUGAACCAUAAUUAAACUUAAUCACUUUAAUAUUAAAUUAAUAUAAUAUUUAUCAAGAUAAAUAUUAGAUUAAAUUUAAUAUUAAAUAUUAUUAAAAUGAUAAAAUGUUUAUCUACAAGAUAACCAUUAAAUUAAAUGAAAUAUUAAGAUAAUCACUUUAAUAUUAAAUUAAUAAAAUACUAUUAAGAUAAGUGAUAACUCUUGAAAAGAGUUAUAAUUCAUGCCUUUAGACUGGGUCAAUUGUCUAUACUUAAGUGAAUUUAGUUAUUUUAGCAUUUUUAGAACGUUGCAUAAGGAGCUUGGACGGUGCUUAAAUAUUAUUUUUUGGUACUUUUAAUUGCAUGUGGAAGAGCUAUGUUUGGUGGUUUGGCAAGUGUAGGAUGUGGAGAAAGAAAUAAACGAGUGAAGGUUUACAGGGGCAAAAGGUUGGACAGUUUGCCAACUUGUAUGCCGUGGCAAUUCUAGGAAGAUAACCGAGUCAACACUCAAUGCAUACCAGUCUCGUCCCAACUCUACUUGUACCAGAAAAAUUAGCCUAAAAAAGAGGAAAAAAUAUCAUGAGAUCAUGGGCUGAUAACACUUGCCCUAAAGGAAGGGAUUUUAAACCAAAAAGAAAAUCUAAAAAAUAGAAGAUAUAUUGAGUUGUUGGAUUUACCUUAGUGAAAAAGCCUAUAAAAAGCCAAAUGAGGAAACCCAAAAAGACGGACAAAUGUGGAUAUCGAUAGGCGAACUAGAGGGUAGUGGCUGAGUAGAGAAGGAAAGAGGACGACGAAGGCAAUCCCUCUCAGCCAUCACAGGAUACUUUGCCGUUGGAGUGUGAAUUGGACAUUGAAAAGCUGUCUUCUCGACGUUCUUCUGUUAUUUCUUAAUCUAUUCCUCUAUGAAUUAAUUUGAUUGAAACGACGUUGAAUGAUAUUUUGGUUUUGAAUUUUAUUUGCCAACCCAUGAGCUAAAUCUCAUACGUUUCGGAUUACUUGAUGAAACCUUUAUUUUCUUUAAUGGUUGAAGCAUAGAUCUGAAUUAAUUUACUGUUUCAUUCAAUUUUUUUAUUUUUAAAUUGUAUGCAUGCAAUCCUUAAACAUAGACGACUGUGCAACAUGCCCAUAAACUAAUUUAAUUCUAAAAAGGUUGGAUUAGUUUGACCAAAAUUGAAUGAUAUGAGCAAGUAUUCGACAGAUAAUUGUAGUAGACUCUAGACAUAGAGCAGCGUUCAUACAGAAGAAGAUAGUGUUGGGUACCGUAUUAAAGGCCUAUAGACACGGGUAAGGUAACUUGAGGUUUCUGCUUUCGGAAGAAGUAGACCAUUUAAAAACUCUUCUGAGCAGUAGAUUGAUUACAAUUUUGCCGAGGCAUUAUUAGCAUAUAAUCAAUAUCGUAUAUCCCUUAUCCCCUGCCGUAGUAUCUUUGCCAUCGCAUCUUUAGUUUUUUUACUUGUUCAGUUACAUAUUAUUCAUAUAAUUAUUUUCUUAAUUGCCAUUGCAUUUUUACUCUUGCAUUGCCAUAGCAUUUUGAAUUAUUCAUCAGUUACACAUAUUGGUCACAUUAAUAUUCUUUUUGUUUACCACUCCAUUCUUAUCAUUAUUUUGCUAUAACACUAAUCUAACUUUAUUAUAAUAACUUGACCAUUUGUAUACCUAAUCCGAUCCCUGUGGAGAUGAUCUCACUUAUCACUUUAUUACUUGAUUCAAAAUGUAUACUUGCACAAUUCGUAUAUCAUGUUCACACGCGACAAUAAGUAUUAAAUUUAAUUUAAUAUUAAACUAUUAAAAUAAUAUUAUUUUUAGAAUAGUUAAUCUGAAAUCAAAUUCUCUGGUAGAGUUCUAAUAGGAGUGUAAAUCUUCCACUGCUCAACCACUGAAGACCAAUCACCACCGACCAUUGAAACACUGCCAUUACAAUUGCCAGCACCGUCGUGUCCGGUGAUGCAGGUGCAACACCUUUACAACACUCCAACCCAAUUCAAUUACUGUCAGUUUGGUCUGGGUCAGUGAUGACCCAACCGGGCAAAUCUAGCCACUGAUUGGACAAUCGGCCCAGUUUCACAUGUUGGACUCGAUUCGACUAAUUUUUGGGUUUUAGUCUCAGUUUUGGGUUCCUUAGCCCAAUUUACGUUCUCAGUUGUCUAACUUGAAAAUUACUUUCCAAAAAUAUCAUAUUAAUUUGAUUAAUUUAAUUUUACUUGAUCAAAAUUAAUUUUCCCAAAAAUUACUUAGAUUUUCCAAAUUAAUUUUUCAAGAAAAUUUUUUAAUCAAAUUCUCUAACUGAACAAUUCUCACGACCACCUAAUUUAAUUCCAAACUGAACAAAUCGACUCAAUUAAAUUAUUCCCAAAGUCGUAGAGUUUUCUUUUGAUUCAAAUACAGUCCGAUUGAACUUUUGUUGAGCUAGCGGAGGGGCCAAUCGGACACAUACAAUUAGGCUCUAGUAAUUGCAAUUAUGUCUAGAAGCAUCGUUCUGAUAAAUCGCAAUUACUUAAUCAUGGAGUCAGUCCACAAGAAGUAUCAUGAUAAAAAAAAUUUCUUAUUGUAUACUCUUUACGAAAAUAAUUCAUCCAAGUGCUUUGGCCAAUGACAUUGUCAUGUGUGUAAUACCAUCAUAUGAUAUCCUUGAUUCCUUUGAGUUAAAUCCAUUCACUCAAUACAAUCUUAAUUUAUCUCAUUGUCACCAUUGAGUCUUCUUAAUGAUUAAUAUGAUCGUUGUAAACAUAUUAUUAUGAUAAAUUGCUUGUUUGAGAACAAGCAACCCGUUACCACAUUUCAUAUUUAUCAAUCCACACAAUGCCUAUGAGAGGAUAUCAUUAACUCUUUAAUUGAGCUAUUAAUUCCACUAUUUCUAGUAAAGCCAUGCCAUACACAAGUCAUGUACCCAACAUACUGGCUAUGGGCUCGAUCAUCUUUAUAAUAGAAGUCUCCACUUAUAUCAAAGCACAUAAGUUGCAUACGCAUGAUCAGUGAAUAACUCAGGAUUUAGAUAAAUCACACCAUGAACGUCACAAGUGAAUUAAUUCACAAACGGAUUCAAAAUUAAUUCAUCUUGGGUCCAGUCCAAUGUAUCAUUCUACCAAUGAAUACAUCUAUGUCUCUACCCGUGGAAUUAACUACUUCGAUAGCCAAGACUAGCCAUCUCCUCAAUUGGAAUUGUAGGCGACAUAAUAAUCUUUCUCAGUAUUUGAAUCAAAUGUUCACUUUGAUUCUUUUACAGGAUCAUGGACUCAUUUAGAUUAUCUACUGAAGUAAGUUAUCUUUCUCGUAAUGUAAACUUUCUUACAAUGCUACUCAUCUUUAGUUUGAACUUAAACAUCCAAUGAGCUAAUAUUUUCUUAUCACAAUUUUACUAUGCAUGCAAAAUAUAAAAGACAAAAAUACAAAAAAACAUAAUAGUGAAAUGUGAAAUUAAAUUUAUUUAUUUAUUCAUCGUUCAAAUAAAUAGAAAAUAGUUACAUCUUUACUACGAUAUGAGCACAUUUCCCAACAUUUUCCUUCCCUUUUUACAGGUUUUAGUAAUCUUGAGAAGCCAUCUGCGCAGAUAAUGAACAAGUAUGAACUUAAUGGGUCUCCUUGCCUCAAUCAUCUUGUGGGUUUAAAACUUACCCCUUGUCCCCUAUUAAGCACUAAAAAUAGGAUAUGCUUUUUAUAUCUCAUUAUCAAUGAUACCCAUCCUUCAAAAAAGCCAAGACUUUUCAUUAUUUUCUCCAUAAAUCUCAUUCUACUCUAUCAUAGACUUUACUCAUGUUCAAUUUCAACGCAAAAUUCGUUUGCCUGUGCCUUCUCUUCUGGAACAAAUGUAAUAAUUCAUAAGCCACCAAGAUGUUGUCAGUAAUUUGUCUCCCCAGCACGAAUGCUCCUUGUGUCUCUUCGAUACAGUCAUUAAGAGCCUUUCUAAAUCUGUUGAAAAUUGCCUUUGAAAUAAUCUUGUAAACUACAUUGCACAUAUUGAUUGGUCUAAAUUGCCCCAUUUAUUCUGGUAGUUGAACUUUAAGGAUCAAGACAAUGUUGGUUUUGUUUGUUUCUCUUAUUUCUUUAUGAUUGUUUAACACUUCUAAGCAAAAUUUAAUAACGUCUUUCCCUACAAUGUGCAAAAAAUUCUAAUAAAAGAAAGCAGGAAAUCCAUCCUUACCUACGACUUUUAGUGGCGCCAUUGAUUUCAUUGCUUUAGUUACUUAUUCUUCUUUGAAACUGUUUAAUAAUUCACCGAUGAUAUUGUUGGUUACACAAGCUUGAAUGUAGUUCAUAAGCAUCUCACAACUAUGUACGGGUUUUGACAAAAAAAUAUCUUUGAAAUAGUUUGUAGCCAACUUGAUUAAUUUCGUGUCUCCCUCAAUCCAUUUUCUAAUCGUGUCUUUGAGUCCUUUAACUGUAUUUCUUUUUAUUUUUUCUUUUUUUUGAGAUAUGACACAAACUUUGGAAAAAAAGAAGUAUUACAACCCCCAUAAGAAGCCAAUUUACUCUUGCUUGUUACUCCCAAAAAAUUUUCUCAUUGUCAAAUUCCAUAUUUAGCAUCAAUUUAACAUCUGUAAUUUUUUAUCUUGAAUUCAGCUCCUCCCUUUUUUGCUUACGUAUUCCUUUAUUAAUUUUAUCCCAUUCCAUUAAAAAUGUUGUCAAGUCCUUGAGUUUUUCUGGUAGCUCCUUUUCAUCCAAAGACCAUCCUUGUUUUAUCCUAUCCUCAAAAUCCUUAUCAAGGAUCCAAUCAACUUUAAAUCAAAAUGGAAACCGUCCCUUUGUUGAACUCCCCUUCCUUCUUCCUAUAGUGUCCAUUAACAUUGGGCAAUGGUUUGAUAUACUAUGAUUUAAGUGAGAUACUACAUAUUUUUGGAAACAUACCCACCAUUUUGAAUUUCCCACCCCUCUAUCAAUUCUUUCUCUUAUAUUGUUGACUGCUAGCCUCCCUCUUUCCCAAGUACACCAUUGUCCUUGGAACUCCAAAUCACUUAAGUCACAUUCCUCUAAAACAUCUCUAAAGGCUGCCGUUUGACGUUCUUCUCCUAAACACCCUCCUCUAUUUUCAAAAGAGACCACUUCAUUAAAAUCAUCGAUGACAAGCCAUGGUAAACGAUUAUCUGCCUAUAACUGCUUUAUUAAAUUUCAUAAAUCUUUCCUCAAACGCUCAACUGUAGAUCCAUAAAACUUGGUGAACCUCUAACAUGCUUCACAUUUUCUUCUUGAAUUUCGAUGUCUAUAUGAGAACUUGAGAAACUCAUGAGACUUAUUGAUAGGUUUUCUUUCCAUCCUAGCUAUAGACCCCCCAUUUGAACCAUCUACAUUGAUUUUUAUCCUGUUUGCAAAACCACAUGACCUUGUUAUCUUUUCUAUUUUUCUUGAACUGACUUUUGUUUCCAACUAUGCCCUGUCUUGCAAAACAAUUUUUGAGACACCUUAUCGUCCGUGAUAGCCUCAGCCCAUAGGCAUUCCAACUUAGAGUUUUCAUUGUAAUCGGUCGGCCUGCUCAUUAGCGGCCAUCGAUAUAAUGUUGUUUGAAUCUAUAUCCAUCAGGUUAGAGAUUUUUUCUUGUGUGUGAAGUAUCCGUUGCCUUUUAUUUCCUUCCAAUAAGCUAAGAAACUCAAAAGCUUAAGAAGAUGGCGAAAUCACCGCCAACAUGCGAAAAUUUACAAACGAACACGACAACUAAAAGGAAAACCCUAAUUGCUGCUACACGAGUAAAAAGUUAUAAAUUUCUAAUAUCAAGAUUCUCAGUAUAAGAAAUCUUAGCUUUUUUCAGUUUCUUUGAAAUCCCUCAUCAAUUUUGAUUAAACAAAUUUCAUUCAAGCAUUGCUACUGGUUGAAUCUUGUCCAACCUUUAUAGCAUAUCAGUAUGAGAGCACCCAUCUGCAUAUUAGAAAGAUAAAAAAAUAUAUAUUAUUCUUUUAUCAAAUAUAUAUUAUUCUUUUAUCCAACUAUGCCCUCUAUUUGCUCAAUUUUUAAUAUAAUUUUUUUAAUAAUUUUUAAAUUUUAAAAGAAUUUAAUUAAUUUUUUAACUUGUUACUAAGGCUUUUUUGACCUUUUAGUCUUAUUAAUUUCAAAAUUUCUAAUUUACUACACUUUUGUUCGAAAAAUUAAUAAAUAAAAGUAUACAAGUGUAAAACACCCAAAACUAAUAUACUAAACUUAGGGGACUAGAUCCAACACUCACACCCAACUUGGUCGUCAGGUCUGACCAUAAGACACCACAUUCGUUGCUUGAGCAACAUCAAUUACAAUCAUUCAAUUCAAUACAAUACAAUUAAGAUGUUAAAAUGCGGUUUAGAUUUCAACAACAUUAAAGUGAGCUUUGAAUUUUUUUAAAGGCCUUUACAAAACAUAUUCAAGUUCUAAUUGUGCUUAUGAAAGCUGCCGAAGACCCUUGGUGGCAUAUAGGAAGUCAAACGAGUAAAAAUUUGAAGUAAUUUGAAAAGGAACAAAAAAAAUAAAGGUCAAUGUCGCAACCACAACAAGUGUAUGUCACGACACUGACCUUACUGUUGAUCCGUGUUGCGACCACAAUAAGUGCUCGUUGUGACAUUGACCUUAUUGUUGGUCUAUGUUAUGACCACAACAAGUGCUUGUUGCAACAUUGACCCCAUUGAGUCAAAUGUUGGAAAAUUACUUUCAUGAGAACUUUGAGGCAUAUUCUCAAUAGGUAAAGGUGGAAAGUUGACCUUUACAAUGGUAUAUCAUAUGCUCAAAAUGGUUGAGUGAUGAAUGAGAAAUUGAUGCUCAAAGUAAGACUUGGAAAUAUUGUCGAGGAAAAGUAAAGGCUUAGAUCCCACAUUGGUUAAAUACCAAAGUGUAAUAUGUGUUUAUAUAUGUGAACCCUCUUAAAGGGUAAUUGAAUGACUAAGCUUGUAACCCUGCCUCACGCAUAGAGGGGGUGCAGGUGCAAACCCAAUCGGGUUGGGGCGCACCUGCACGAUGUGGGCGACGCGAAAUUUCUGGAUCGGUUGGGCCCAAAUGGGCCUGUGGAUAUUUUACGACUUUAUUUUCCUCAGCAGACAUAAUCUACUUAUAUAAGGAUACUUAUCUUAUUGAUUUGAUUCCAAUAAAUUUGAUUAAAUUUUUUUAAUAAAAUUGAUUUAUGGCAGAUUUUGUGCAUAUUUUUUUCCAAAAUUUCAACAUUCUCCAUGCCUAUAAAAGGCCAUGAUUUAUGAAGGGUUAUACACACAAAAAUACUCUUUGAUAUUUUUCUCUUACUGAAACUUUGUUGCUCUCAAAACUCUUCCUUUCCUCUUCGUACUUUCAAACAUUCCGGUGAUAGAAGAAGGCUUUGUUCAUUUGUUAAUCAUUGUAGAGGUGUUGCUACUUAGAUCACUGUUGUUGUUGUAUCAUGGCAGACAUUCAACCAACAUUACUUCAAGUACCAUAGGAGCGGCCGAAUCUGUCUUAAGAAAACUAUGUUUCAUAGGCCUCAACGUUUCGUAAAAUCCCUAUUCUUUCUUCUUUAUUUCAACUUUGUAUUAUGGUUUUGUUUGAUUUUUAUAUUUCACAAUUUAAUUAUAAAUUGUUCCAUUUAAAUUUUAUUUAUAUAAAUAUUUCUUUAUUUAUAUUUACCUAUUUUGUUUUGCUAACGUGUGUAUUGUCCAACAUCAAAUUUCAAACUAUAAUUGCCCAAAGUGACCCCAAAACAUUAGCAUUCCAUUUCUAAACAUCAUGGGACAUUAAGAACAUGUUCUAAACAUCAUUCAAGCAUAUUUAAACACAUCCAAACACUUAACUAUUAACAUGAUCACAACAUUAUCGGUUUCAAAUAUCCAGUCGACUAACAUGACAUGUAAGCAACACUUGGUUAAUGAUGUACACAUACAAUUCAGGUCAUGCAUUCAAUCAUAUAUAUAACUAAGUCCUUACAGAUCUUUAUACUUAUAUGAUCAUGCUUAGAUUAAACUUCAUAACCUUAUAAAUACCAAAACAUCAAAAGGGUCUCUAAAGCUAAGUUUUGAUACUAGGUACAUGGAAACUUAAACCAAACAUACAAAAGACUAGACAAACUUGGUUGAGUUGAGAAGUGAGUCUUAGAUGCUGCUGAACUUCUCAAAUUCUCGUGACCUAAAUGUUACCUGUGCACGAAAAAUAAUUUUUAGCCAAUUUAUGCCAUAUACUUAUACUAGCAUGUCCUAGUUUUUUAUGUCAACCAAGAAUUAUUUUUAUUUUUAGCCAUAAAACAAAUGUUUGAAUAAUGUAAAUCAUCUAAAUGUACCAUAUAGAUGUUUCCUAUUCUAUGACCAACAAGCACGAUCUUAUUAGAAAUAACGUCAAUAAUUUUACAUCUAUUUCAAUCAAAUAUGACAUUCAUACUUUUAUCACACAUUUGGCUUAUACUUAAAAGAUUAUGCUUAAGAUCGUUGCCUUAUAAAACAUUCUCAAUAAAAAUUGAAGAAUUUUUACCAAUAUAGUCAAUUCUUUCAAUGAGCCCUUUGGAGUUGUCACUAAAUGUAUCUUCUCCUCCACUUUUUGGUUUUAGUUCAAUGAAAUGACUAUUGUUACUGACCAUAUGUAUUGAGCACCAAAUAUCAAGGUACCAUGAGUUUCUACUUGAAUUGGUCACCUUGAAGCAAUGAUCUUUCCCUUACAAACAUAGAUUUAAGUUUUGAUUUUUUGGUACCCAAAUUCUUUUGGGUCCAUAAGCAUUAGUUUUUAGGUUCUAGUCCCUUUAGGUAUCCACUUAGAAAGGAUAUCCUUGUCUUAGGUAGUGCUAAGUCCUUUAUGGACCCAUGCACUCUUAACAAGUUUUCCAUUAUAAGUUCCUGAGGGACUUCUAUGUCUAUAGUGAUUAAAGCUUGAUUUAAUAAAGUUUGUUUAUGAAUUUCCUCCUUUUUCAAAUCUUUUUGGAGAAACUUUGUUAGAUAAAGUUUUUUCUUUCUUAAGCAAAUCAAGUUGCUUUUGAUGAUCUUAAUGAAAUUUUAAAAGUAAUUUAUGCAAGUUCGAAUUCUUUUUCUCAAAAUCAUCAAUAAUUGUUUGCAAUCUGUUUAUUUUCUCCUUAAGUUCAUGAUUGAUUUUGGAAAGUAAGUCAUUUUCAACUUUCAAUUUUGAAUUUUUUUUGUGUUUUGAAACCAUGACUUUGAAUUCCAAACCUAUCUCAUCAUAGGCAUCUUGUAACUCAUCAAAUGAAUAAGGAAUUAAACUAGAUGAGUUAGAAGUUACCUUAGAGUCUUCAAUGGUCAUAAGGAAAAUGUUGGCUACUUAUUGUUCUUUAUCAUCAGAAGAAUCCUCAUCGCUCCAAGUAGCAACAUUGGCAUUAUGUUUUUAUUUGUUUUACCCAUUUUUCUUCCAUUGGGGACAACCUUGAUAUGUCCCGACUUUUUGCUUUCAUAAAAUAUUAUGGGAUCUUUCUCCUUGUUGGAUUCAAGCUUCAAUCAUUCUUUUCUUUGAAAUCUUCUUCCAUUGAUCGACUUCAUGAAUCUCUGAGCAAACAUGGUCAUUUCUUUAUCUUCAUCCACUUCGUCACUUGAUUUGCUUUCUUCAUUUGUAGUGGAUUGGAUAGCAACAUAAAUCUUAUUCUUUUAAACUUUUUCUUCUUAUAACCCUUCUUUAAGCCUCAUUUCAUAUGUAAGCAAAUAACAAGUAAGUUCAUCUAACGCAAGUGUCUCUAAAUUCUUUGCUUUUUUAAUGGUGGUCACUUUAGCUUCCUAAGACUUUGGCAAGCUUCUAAGCAUCUUUAUCACAACCUCUUCAUUAGGAUAUGUCUUCCCAUAUGACUUGAGACUAUUUAUGAUAAUUUUGAAUUGAUCAAACAUCACUUUGAUAUACUCCUUAGGCUUCAUCUUAAAGGUUUCAUAGUUGAAUGUGAGAAUUCCCAACUUUGGACUUUUUUACUUGACUUGAUCUAUCAUGAGUGACCUCUAACUUGUCUCAUGUAUUCUUGGAAUUAGAACAAGAAGACACCUUACUCUAUUCAUCCAGACCAAGUGCACAAAAUAGGGUGUACAUGGCAUUGACAUUAAGUUGAAUAUUCCUUCUAUCUUCUUCAUUCCACUCUUUCUUGCUCUUUGGAAUCAAUAACUAUCCUUCUUACUUUUGAGGAAUGGAGGGACCAUCCAUGAUGGUAUCUCAAGCUGCAAGAUCAUUGGCUUGAAUAAAGAGUAUCAUCUUUGUCUUCCAAUAAGAGUAGCUUGUUCCAUUGAAGUAUGAAAGCUUUGAGAUAGACUGAGAUUCUCCAAAAAAAAUUGACCUAGAAGUGGAUGUCAUUCUUUGAGGAAUAUAUUGAUGUCAGCUUGAUCUCUCCAUGAUUCUUCUCUUGGUUGUUAAAUCGUCUUUAAAGACUAGCUCUAUUACCAAUUGUUAGCUUAAUCAAUCAACUGUAAUAGCAAAUAGGGGGUUAAUUGGCCUUUAAAAUUGUGGUAGAAAAGAUAAGAAAAUGAAACAAUAAACAUAAAGAAAGAGUGGUUCAACCCCAAUUGCCUACUCCACUACCAUAUCUUUCCACCACUAAAGAUUUUCCCAAAUUCACUAAUUUGAUCAAACUUUGAAGACAAUGUUUAACCUUAUAACUCCCUUAAGAUUUCUACCUAAAUCUUAAGACUUAAACCCUCUCAAAUGAGUAAACAAAUGAGCAAACAAAGAAACAAUCCUUACAAGAUUAGAAUAUUUACCAAUUAAGCACAUACGAUAAAAACACUUAAGCUAAUGGAAUACAAUGAAUGCUCACAAGUGUUUGCAAGAAAAAGAUGGAGAAUUGAAGCACAAAAAGUUGAUAAAAGAGUUGUUGAUCUUUUUUGAUAACUUUUGAUCUUUUGUAAUCUCUCUUAUUGUUGUAGAAGCUUUAGAAGCUGAUAUUUAUAGCCCCUAAUUGAUUUUCAACCAUUCUGAUUGUUGAAGAAUUGAAUAGAACCAUUAGAAGUCUAAAAACCAAAGCAUUACGGCACGUUUGGUUUGCUGUAAUAGAAUAGAGGCGUAAUGGAAUAGAGACGUAAUGGUAUAGAGGCGUAAUGGAAUAGAGGCGUAAUGGAAUAGAGGCGUAAUAGCAAUUCAAUUGUUUGGUUGAAUGUAAUGGAAUAGAGGCGUAAUAGCAUAAGGAAAAAAAACUAAAAUGACUAGAAUACACUUAACAAAAUUUUUUUAGGUAGAUGAUUUAUUGUUAUUGUUAUUAAAUUUUAAUAAGAUUAUUAAUAUAAAUAAUAAAUAAUUUAAUAUUAAUUUAAAAUAAUUAUUAUUAAAUAUAAUUUAAUAAAAAAAUAUAUAAUUUAAUAAAAUUCUUAAUAUAAUUAUUCUUAUAUUAAUUUACUAAAAUCAUAAUAUAUAAUAAUAUAAAAAAAUAUUUAAUCUCAUUUAUUAUUUUUAAACCGCAAUACAAAUUUAAUGUGCUAAAACAUCAUUAGUGAAUCAAAUAAUUUAAUUAUUCUAAAAAAAAUAGAAGUAAUAAAUAACUUGAAAAUUAUAUUUUGCGUAAAUAUAAUAUUCAAAUAUUAACAAACAUACGCUAAAUUAAAUUUCAUGUAUAAUUUUAAAAUUUACCCCAAAGAUUUAGUGUACUUCUUGACCUGAACUUGAGAAUUAAGUUUAUUUUAGUACUUGUAUAUUUUUUGUCCACUUUAAUAAUUGAACUUGACAAUUAGAUAUAUUUUAAUCUUUGAACUUGAAAUAUAUAAAAUUUUAUUGACAUAACACUUUAAUAACUGAACUUGACACUUAGAUAUAUUUUAAUCUUUGAACUUGAAAUAUAUAAAAUUUUAUUGACAUAACACUUUAAGAUUGUCUCACAGCAUUAAAUUUGGACGGAAUAUAAAUUCAUAGUCAAAAUAGACCUACUAGUAAAGUUAGAUACUAAAGUAGACCCCAACAACAUAUAAGUAUCAAAACGGAACUAGCUCACAAAGCGAAACUUCUUAUGAAAGAAGAUAAACAAAUUGUGCUACUUGAAGGGAACAACACUGGCACUGGAAAAACAUUUCGUGGUUGAGGACAUAAAAUCUCUUAAGCACUGCAUCCAGGUUAUGAGCUACUCACAGCAACACAGAUCGCUGGGAAAUAAUGUGCCAAAUUACCUUUUGUAUCUCUUCUUGGAACCACAUGGACAAGGAGCAUUACGACUCAUUUCUCCACUCUUUACCAUAUUAAAUUUGGCAAGAUCCAAUGGUGUUGAACCCAUUCUUUUGCACCUGCAAAAGAUAAAAAAAUAAAACGAAUGACAUUUCCAAUGGAGAAAGAGAGAGAUGCAUAAACUAAUACUUGUCAUUGAUGUUUUAAACUGUGGGAGAAACAUUCAUCCGAACUCAAAUGCGAAUUUCAGCAACUGAAGAUGAACGAAGGCAGACAUCUCAGUCUUUUAAGCAAUCUGGCAUUGAACCAAAAAAGCAUAACGCAGAUCAGCAGACCAAACAUCUGUAACUCUAUGUUAGUUAGACUCUUUCUUUUCCUUUAUGCAUCCAUGUUUGAUGCAAGCCUGGGACCAUAAUGAAUAUAGGGAGAUAAUCCUCUAAAAAUCCUUCAAAUACAUUAAAAAAAUUGGACAAAAAAUGAACAUAACACACCCAUGUCAAAUAUAUAUAUCAGACACUCAAACUAUAGUCUGAACAUCAAGAUAUACAAUCAUCAUUUUGACUCAGAUAAUAUGCAUAACUAACUCCCCUACCUUCUUAUACAAAUAUCUUACUUAUCUUUCAAAUAGCUCAUCCUACAUUCAACAUCAUAUUCACCGAGCAGCAGCCAAAAGACAAAAAUACAUUAACUUAGAGAAUUUAAUAUCAGAAAAAUUGAGCAAUAAGCAUAAAUACACUAGCUCAUACAUUUUAAUCAUUCAACAUAUGAUUAGCAAAAACAUAACUGAAAAAAACCAGUGGUAAACUAGAGGUGCUCAUGGGACGGGUGGCCCGGCCCGGCCCGACGGCCCGCUCGAAAUAUGGGAGGGUUUGGGUAAAAAUAUAGGCCUGAAAUAUGGGCUUAGGCAAAAAUGAGGCCCGUUUAGAAAACGGGUCAGGCCUCGGGUACCACUUUUUUGGCCCGGGCCCGACCCGGCCUGGCCCGAUAUAAUAAACAUAUUUAUUUUUUAAUUUUAAAAUACUUUUUAAAAUACUUUUUAAAAUUUUUUUAAUUUUAAAAAUAAAUUUUUUGUAUUUAUUAAAAAAAAUGGGCCGGGCCGGGCUCAGGCUUAUGAUUUUUUUCUCGGGCUGGGCCUAGACAAAAUUUUAGGCCCAUAUUUCAGGCCAGGCCGGGCCCGACCCAUGAGCACCUCUAUGGUGAACCUACCUCAGCAAAGUUCUUUGGCAUCGGUUUGCCUUCCUCUUUCAGCUUAACCAUCUUCUUAUGAACUUCUUUAGCCCAUGUGAACUUCGUAAGCGCAUUCUCAACGUCUAAGAAGGUACAUCUAAUAAGUUAGAUGUUAUCCCUUUCUCACUCUUAAAGGUACAUCUAGUGAAAAGAAAAGUUCAAAACAAAUUAAAUUAAAGAGAGCUUCAACCAAACUGCUUCUUUUAAUGCUUAACACCUUAACAAAAAGUGUGCCUAGGCACACCAAGCAAGCGCCUAAUCAAAUGCACCUUGUCCAAAAAUAUCCAAAGCACUUAAUCAACUUUGUCCUAUCUACUGUUAGGUAAAGGUAGCCUUCAAGAAGGUAACAUAGGUUAAUUCUUGUUUAAGUUUUAUUGAUUGUUGUAAAUGUUGUAUAAACGUGCAAACAAUUUACCUAUAAACUUAGUAUAGGUAGCCUUCAAGAAGGUAACACAGCAACACUAGCAUUGAAAUUUAAUUCAAGCAAUGAAAUAACAGCUGUAAAGAAAAGCACUCCUACAGACGCCAGUGAAACCAUAGUACAAGUAAAGUAUAAAGAAUUCCAAGUUCACUGUUCAAAAAUGAAGAAAAAGGGUAUCAAUGUUUAUACCUUUACAGCUCGCCAAUGAUCUAAACAUUCACGAUGUACAUAUUUUGAUGUUCCUUUGCACUUGCAAGGAGCAAUAAAAUCUCUACCUGAGGAAAACAAUUGCACAUUGAACUAGUUAUUAGCACAAGUUCCUUCAAACAACACCCUUAGCAACAAAAAUUAAGUUUAACAACACCCUUAGCAACAAAAAUUAAGUUUUCUUUUUUUCAUAAUUAUUAAACAUUAUUGUGUAGGAUGACCAAAAAAAUUUACUGCGAAGGAAUUAUUUAAAAUAAAAAAAAGGGAAUUGAAAAUAAUUAAAUUGCUAUUUUUAUCUUCUCUAAUUUUGUUUAAUAAUCCAAUCAGUUUGGUCGCCAAACGAAAAAAUUAAACCCGUUAUACUAGAGUGAUGUACAUGGUUGGAUUUUGAAGGAAAAAACAGAACAGAUUUUUUUCGAGAGGAAGGCUUAAAAUAUGCAAAGUGAUCGUGAUUCAUAGCACAAUCGAUGAAACUAAUUUUUUAAAAUUUCUUUUAAAAAAGGAAGUUAAAUUUGAGGAAAUAGGGUUUAAAAGUAGAACAUACCGUCGGUUUCGAGGCAAAUUCGACACUGAAUUUGAUCGGCUAGACUGGCCUCGAGGUCGAUCUCGUUAGGGUCGGUGUCGGUGGGGGAGCCAUGAGAGGCAAUUCCUCCGAUUGAUCGCUCAUUGUCGAUUAACAAAUAAACAGAGGAAAUAGCCAUUUUCGAUAAUAAUAAUUAAUUUAUAGAGAGAAAAAUGAGCAAUCUUGAAUUUCUCUUCUCUGAUUCUUGAAGCUGAUAUUGAUGUCUUUUUUAUGGUUCUUUCAGCGGAAUUUCAACAUCAGUAAUGAAGGAAAAAAGGGAAAUAAGAUAAAGGGAAAUAAGAAGGAAAAAAGGGAAACACAGAUAUGGAAAGGAAAGAAGAAGAUGAAGCUGAGGGAAAAAAAUGAAAAGGGAAAAAAAAUACUC